rnacentral:rRNA from 1 species
UACGGAGGUGGCAAGCGUUAUUCGGAAUUAUUGGGCGUAAAGGGCGCGUAGGCGGCUAGAUGUGUCAAAGGUGAAAUCCCUCGGCUCAACUGAGGAACUGCCUUUGAAACUGUCUGGCUUGAGGCCGGGAGAGGGUAGCGGAAUUCCCAGUGUAGCGGUGAAAUGCGUAGAUAUUGGGAGGAACACCAGUGGCGAAGGCGGCUACCUGGACCGGUUCUGACGCUGAGGCGCGAAAGCGUGGGUAGCAAACAGG